rnacentral:rRNA from 1 species
AUUGAACGCUGGCGGCAGGCCUAACACAUGCAAGUCGAGCGAGCGGCGGACGGGUGAGAAAAGUAUGGGGACUGCCCCAUAGUGGGGGAUAACUCCUGGAAACGGUGGCUAAUAUCGCAUACUGCCGGAUAAUCCAUAUGGGAUUAGCUAGUAGGUAAGGUAAUGGCUUACCUAGGCGACGAUCCCUAGCUGGUCUGAGAGGAUGAUCAGACACACUGGGACUGAGACACGGCCCAGACUCCUACGGAGGCAGCAGUGGGGAAUAUUGCACAAUGGGCGCAAGCCUGAUGCAGCCAUGCCGCGUGUAUGAAGAAGGCCCUAGGGUUGUAAAGUACGUGCAGUCGGGAGGCGUUACCGGCAGAAGAAGCACCGGCUAACUCCGUGCCAGCAGCCGCGGUAAUAC